CGAUCUAGCUGCAACAUCUGUCAACCCAUUGAUUGCCAGGGUUGAUUUGGCUGAUCUGGCCUGCUAGGUGGAUGAACUAAUUUU
rnacentral:snRNA from 1 species